UCACAUUGGCUGAUGAGCUGCUUUACUUGAUUUAUGCCAUGAAUCAAGUUAUACAAGUUAGAUCCGGUACACUUGAAGCAAAUAUGAAAACCUUUUUGCACUCAUUACAAGAAGAUGCAAAGAUAGUGCAUGGUAAUGGGAUAACUCCACAGUGGCCAUCUUCUCAACCUGUUUCCAGUCAUUCUAUAUCAAUGGAUCUUAAUGGGACAUUUAAGGAAGAGACAACUGAUGAGCCUGUUUCUAAUCAUUCAAUGUCUGUGGAUUCAAAUUUUGCAUUCUAGGAGUCCAUGCAAUUCACGUGGCAUAUCUGAAGAUGAUUUGUAGAAAAUACAGGCUGACUGUCUCUCGGCUAUUGCGCUAAAGCUACUUCUGAAACUAAAGAGGCAUCUAAAAAUUGUGUAUGGUCUAAAUGAUACACGAUGUCAGGAAUUUUCUCCAAAUGAACCCCUAAAAUCGGGGGAGGCUCUCUCAAAGAAGAACAUUCCCUUCAACACCAAUGAAACACGCAUUGAUCUGCCUAUCAAUCAUCAAGAAGUGUUGCAAAGAUAUCAGAAUUCAAGACUGCUUCGAAGGAAGACAUUAUUGACUAUUCAACAUACACAGUGAACAUCAAGAGGAGACAGCCUCCUUCGAGGAGAGAGGGGAGGUCUGGGCGUUGUACAGGUAGGGAUGAUGAAGAUUAUGAUAACGAUGAAGAUUGGGGAGGAAAUGGAAGUGGGGCUCGAAGGCUAGAUAAUAGUGGGAGGAAAAGCAACAGUAGUAGAGGUAGGCAGUGGUCGUAGUUUGUAAAUACAUUUACAGGUAAAUCUAACAUCAUGUAUAUUAUGUAGGAAGCGGGGGAAGAAAAGAAAAAAAAGGAGGUUAGAAUUGAGAAUAGAAAAAAAAAAAAAAAAAAAAGGAAUAGAAUAUUGAUGCAAAACCAGUGCUGCCAUAUAUUUUAGAAGGUUGUGUGGCAGAGGAGCGAUUUUUGUAAUUGAUUCCCUCAUGUAAAUUGUUUUUUUUUUUCUUUUCUUUUUCUGGAAAUCAUGUAAGUUGGUUGGGUCAAUGGUAUUAAUUAUCCCAUUUUUGUGUCCAUUGUUUAAUGUGUAUAUGCCAUG